UACAGAGGUCUCAAGCGUUGUUCGGAUUCAUUGGGCGUAAAGGGUGCGUAGGUGGCGCUGUAAGUCAGGUGUGAAAUUUCGGAGCUCAACUCCGAAGCUGCAUUUGAUACUGCGGUGCUUGAGGACUGGAGAGGAGACUGGAAUUCACGGUGUAGCAGUGAGAUGCGUAGAUAUCGUGAGGAAGACCAGUGGCGAAGGCGGGUCUCUGGACAGUUCCUGACACUGAGGCACGAAGGCCAGGGGAGCAAACGGG
rnacentral:rRNA from 1 species